GACGAACGCUGGCGGCGUGCUUAACACAUGCAAGUCGAGCGGUAAGGCCCCUUCGGGAGUACACGAGCGGCGAACGGGUGAGUAACACGUGAGCAAUCUGCCCUUCACACGGGGAUAACCCUCGGAAACGAGAGCUAAUACCCGAUACGACCACUUCAGGCAUCGGAUGGUGGUGGAAAGUUCCGGCGGUAAAGGAUGCGCUCGCGGCCUAUCAGCUUGUUGGUGGGGUAACGGCCCACCAAGGCAACGACGGGUAGCCGGCCUGAGAGGGUGAGCGGCCACACUGGGACUGAGACACGGCCCAGACUCCUACGGGAGGCAGCAGUGGGGAAUAUUGGACAAUGGGCGAAAGCCUGAUCCAGCAACGCCGCGUGAGGGAUGACGGCCUUCGGGUUGUAAACCUCUUUCAGCAGGGACGAAGCGCAAGUGACGGUACCUGCAGAAGAAGCACCGGCCAACUACGUGCCAGCAGCCGCCGUAA
rnacentral:rRNA from 1 species